rnacentral:lncRNA from 1 species
GCAGAUGGGCGGUUUGGAGGCGCUGCUGUCCCUGGGAAAUGGGAGCCUCCAUCCUGUUCUCUCUGCUGCUUGGCUGGGCUGGGCUGGGCAGGGCAGGAAAGCCAGGGUCCCCACCCCUCCUGGAGCAGAGCACUCCGCGCUGGCUGUUCCGGGGGCCCGGGAGGGCAGAGCUGUCAGAAGGUCUGUCUGGCAUCAUUAGGGGAGCUGUCUGUCUCUCUAUCCCUGGCUGGCGUGGCCCGGCAGGAGGCGAGGCUGAUAUUUUCAGGAGACCUGGUGAUUUGACCUGACACCUGUCAGUCAGUCUCUGGUAUGUCAUUAUCAGCAGUGUGAAAAUGCUGAUAAUGCAUUUUCCACCCUGUCUGGAUCUGGACAAGAGCCCACCACCCCGUUGGCAGUAGUCAGGCAGCUCUGCUCCUAAGAACCUGCAGCUUUUGGAAGAAAGGCACCCUGUGGUUUCAGAAGCCCAAGAGUCCCUGCAGCUCAGCACCCCCAGCCUGGUGCUUGGCAGAUGAUUGCCUCCUCACUUAGGAGAGGGAGCAGGUGAGCAUGUAUGAAGGGCCGCUCU